UACGAAGGGGGCUAGCGUUGCUCGGAAUUACUGGGCGUAAAGGGCGCGUAGGCGGCGCAUUUAGUCAGGCGUGAAAGCCCUGGGCUCAACCUGGGGACUGCGCUUGAUACGGGUGUGCUAGAGGACGGAAGAGGGUCGCGGAAUUCCCAGUGUAGAGGUGAAAUUCGUAGAUAUCGGGAGGAACACCAGUGGCGAAGGCGGUUAGCUGGCCUGUAACUGACACUGAGGCGCGAAGGCUAGGGGAGCGAACAGG
rnacentral:rRNA from 1 species